rnacentral:rRNA from 2 species
AACUCUUAACAAUGGAUAUCUUGGUUCUCGCAACGAUGAAGAACGCAGCGAAAUGCGAUACGUAGUGUGAAUUGCAGGGCUCAGUGAAUCAUCGAAAUUUUGAACGCAUAUUGCGCUUAUGGUCACCAUGAGCACGUCUGUUUGAGGAACGGUACCCA